rnacentral:rRNA from 1 species
GAUGAACGCUAGCGGCAAGGCCUAACACAUGCAAGUCGAGGGGUAGAAGGAGCUUGCUUCUUUGAGACCGGCGCACGGGUGCGUAACGCGUAUGCAAUCUACCUUGUACAGGGGAAUAGCCCAGAGAAAUUUGGAUUAAUGCCCCAUAGUAUAUAACCUUCGCAUGUUGGUUAUAUUAAAGUUCCAACGGUACAAGAUGAGCAUGCGUCCCAUUAGCUUGUUGGUAAGGUAAGAGCUUACCAAGGCGACGAUCAGUAUCUGGUUUGAGAGGACGAUCAGACACACUGGAACUGAGACACGGUCCAGACUCCUACGGGAGGCAGCAGUGGGAAUUUUCCGCAAUGGGCGAAAGCCUGACGGAGCAAUACCGCGUGAGGGAAGACUGCCUAUGGGUUGUAAACCUCUUUUUUCAGGGAGGAAUAAAUGACGUGUACCUGAAGAAUAAGCAUCGGCUAACUCCGUG